GGGUUGUGAGGUUAAGCGACUAAGCGUACACGGUGGAUGCCCUGGCAGUCAGAGGCGAUGAAGGACGUGCUAAUCUGCGAUAAGCGUCGGUAAGGUGAUAUGAACCGUUAUAACCGGCGAUUUCCGAAUGGGGAAACCCAGUGUGUUUCGACACACUAUCAUUAACUGAAUCCAUAGGUUAAUGAGGCGAACCGGGGGAACUGAAACAUCUAAGUACCCCGAGGAAAAGAAAUCAACCGAGAUUCCCCCAGUAGCGGCGAGCGAACGGGGAGGAGCCCAGAGCCUGAAUCAGUGUGUGUGUUAGUGGAAGCGUCUGGAAAGGCGCGCGAUACAGGGUGACAGCCCCGUACACAAAAAUGCACAUGCUGUGAGCUCGAUGAGUAGGGCGGGACACGUGGUAUCCUGUCUGAAUAUGGGGGGACCAUCCUCCAAGGCUAAAUACUCCUGACUGACCGAUAGUGAACCAGUACCGUGAGGGAAAGGCGAAAAGAACCCCGGCGAGGGNAGUGAAAAAGAACCUGAAACCGUGUACGUACAAGCAGUGGGAGCACGCUUCGGCGUGUGACUGCGUACCUUUUGUAUAAUGGGUCAGCGACUUAUAUUCUGUAGCAAGGUUAACCGAAUAGGGGAGCCGAAGGGAAACCGAGUCUUAACUGGGCGUUAAGUUGCAGGGUAUAGACCCGAAACCCGGUGAUCUAGCCAUGGGCAGGUUGAAGGUUGGGUAACACUAACUGGAGGACCGAACCGACUAAUGUUGAAAAAUUAGCGGAUGACUUGUGGCUGGGGGUGAAAGGCCAAUCAAACCGGGAGAUAGCUGGUUCUCCCCGAAAGCUAUUUAGGUAGCGCCUCGUGAAUUCAUCUCCGGGGGUAGAGCACUGUUUCGGCAAGGGGGUCAUCCCGACUUACCAACCCGAUGCAAACUGCGAAUACCGGAGAAUGUUAUCACGGGAGACACACGGCGGUGCUAACGUCCGUCGUGAAGAGGGAAACAACCCAGACCGCCAGCUAAGGUCCCAAAGUCAUGGUUAAGUGGGAAACGAUGUGGGAAGGCCCAGACAGCCAGGAUGUUGGCUUAGAAGCAGCCAUCAUUUAAAGAAAGCGUAAUAGCUCACUGGUCGAGUCGGCCUGCGCGGAAGAUGUAACGGGGCUAAACCAUGCACCGAAGCUGCGGCAGCGACGCUUAUGCGUUGUUGGGUAGGGGAGCGUUCUGUAAGCCUGUGAAGGUGUGCUGUGAGGCAUGCUGGAGGUAUCAGAAGUGCGAAUGCUGACAUAAGUAACGAUAAAGCGGGUGAAAAGCCCGCUCGCCGGAAGACCAAGGGUUCCUGUCCAACGUUAAUCGGGGCAGGGUGAGUCGACCCCUAAGGCGAGGCCGAAAGGCGUAGUCGAUGG
rnacentral:rRNA from 1 species